rnacentral:lncRNA from 1 species
GAUAAUGGGUGAUAUGUGUGCUAGUGUAAGACAUGUCUAGGAUAUGCAUUAGCCACAGUAUGAGAGCCAGUGUAAGACAUGUCUGGGACAUGCAUCGGCUUCGCGAUGUACAAGCUAGUGUAAGACUUGUCUGGGACAUAGCGUUAGCUUGUGGUGUGUCAAUGUAAGACUUGUCUAGGACAUGGCAUCGACAACGAUAAAUGAGAGCUAGUGUAAGACCUGUCUAGGACACGGCAUCGACAUCGAUAUAUGAAAGUCAGUGUAAGACCUGUCUGGGACACGGCAUCGACUUUAAAGUGCUAGCCAGUGUAAG